rnacentral:lncRNA from 10 species
CGGCGCACGUGACCCGGCGUUGCUAGGAAACGGGAGUGGGGCCUGCGGGGACGCGGCUGGAGCCUGCGCAUUUCUUCCUUCCUGCUUUCAAAGUUGCAAUGAGCGCAGAGCGGUGCGCCCGAGGGGGUUGAAGCGUUGAAAGUGUGUUACCCAGAUUUUAUCUGAGUUAAACACGGGCCGGCCGCUGUGGCUCACGUCUGUACUCCCAGAGCCUUGGGAGGUCGAGGCGGGAAGAUCGCUUGAGCCCGGGAGCUCGAGACCAGACGCGGCAACAUGGCGAGACGCACAUCUCUGCCUUUAAAAAUGUGGCGCGUUUACCCUAUUUUAAAAAAGUUUUAAGUUUUAGCCAACCGGGAUCAGCUUAGAUUGUGGGCGUCCAACCCCAGCCAACAGGGAAAGGACAGAGGAACAGAAGCUCCCUUCCUUUGUCCCGUGUGCUCUGGAGAUUGCAUCCCACGCAGGCAGCCCCCUUCCGUACAAGAGAGGCUGGCGGUUACCUUUCUUGGGGAGACGCGUCCGACUGCUUCAUUGUGGGGGCCUCAGGAGCGGAGGAUCGGGUCCCGCCCGAGGUGACGCGUAAACCCAGACUCUCAGCAACGCGGGUAGGAAGGACCCUUGAAGUUCCGCGGCGACCACGUCGGCUGAAACCAGCAGCCCAGGACAAGUGGACCAGCCAGCAAGACCCAGACCAUCCAAACCGGCUGAUCCUACGACAGGACCCAGAUGCCAGUGAAAGUGACCACAGCCCUGCUCUAGUCACCCCGGAAGCUGACCAGUCUACGCACGGCCGAAGCUUCGUCAAGGAAGCCUCCACCCCUCGAAUUCCCAGUUCACCGACACCAGCCUGGGGAUCACCUCCUUGUCAGAAGUUGGAAAGAGGAAAAACUCAGCCAACCUGGGAAGGACUUUAUCGGGUGCUCCUGACCACCAAGAUGACGGUCGGAAAGGGCCCCAUCCCUGGAGGGAUCUUGGACCUUCACUCCAGGAUCAACGCCUUCCAAAUUAACAUUCAAAAAGGUUUAAUCUGUCUCUUCCUUCUCCCUGUAGCCGCCCAAGGACGUCUUAUUAUCAAUAUAAGGUGAUCACCCUUUCCCCAGCUAGUUUCGUUUGAUGCCUGUCUGGUUCAUAUACCCCGUAAAGAUAUCCACAGCCAAAGACAGCCUCUUCUGAAGAAAAUCCUUGGCCCAGCCCUUGUAGUAACCGGUACCCUGGGGUGCCAUUCCCUGUUGAAAUUCGCUCAGGAUGGUGGCAGAAAUAUUAAAGGGAAACAUUAGGUAAAGUUAGAGAAAAUAGUCACAAACCGGCCGGGCGUGGUGGCUCACGCCUGUCAUCCUAGCACUUCGGGAGGCCGAGGCAGGAGGAUCACGAGGUCAGGAGAUCGAGACAAUCCCGGCUAACAUGGUGAAAC